GGCACCGGCGCGAGCGCGCGUGGAGGCGGCACUCGGGAGGCAGCGAUCCGGGCUGCAGGCCCUCAAGGGUCCCUCAGGAGUGCGCGACAGGGGCCGGUGGCUCCCGCGCUAUUGCAGAUUGCUCCACAUGCUGCCAUGUCCCCAUCAUGGCUGAGGGCAGAGGCACAGAGGAGCCUGGAGACAGGAAGACUGAAGGUCCCCUGGAGUCCCUCUGGAUCCUGCACAGAAAGAGGACACUAGGAGCUAACGAAAUUCUUUGUGCACAGCCUGAGGAGUUGGCUUUCUGAGCCUUAGAGCUGGUGGUGUGGGACUCUGGUGUUUUUCCUGCCUUCCUGGGCUCCAAGACGUCCCAAGGAGAAAACCCCAUGCUCAGGUUUCCAGGCCAGACACUUAGGCAGGACAGUUCCAGGACACUAGGAUUAAGCGGUGGUACCUGGCAGUUUCCUCAGACAGGUCGGGGCACUGCAUCCACUGCUGCUGUUAACCAGGGAGCAGAUGGCGCAGAGCCGGUCCAGCG
rnacentral:lncRNA from 1 species